UAGAAAAUUAUACAGGGAUUAUUUCUAUAGUUCAUUACUAGAGAGGUUUCUCUGAUGUGAAGAGCACCAGAAAUCACGAGGAGGAGGCACAGCAUUCUCUUCUGAGUGUGUUCUUGGUGCUGCUUCAUUGUAACUGCCAUUGGCCAUUGAUGAUCAUUCUCUCUUUCCUUCGGGAGAGCAGAAGAGAAAGGAUACAGUCUGCGUGGU
rnacentral:snoRNA from 1 species